CAAAAUGAUCGUUAUUGAAAGUUAAACUUAACAUUGAAGUUUCGUAUCAAAAAUUUAACAUUUAUUCAAGUAAAACUAAAAAAAACAAAAUCCUGAAAGAUAUAAGCAAAAGAAAGUAUUCCGUGAGAUAUACUAAGUGUCAUUUACUGAGUUAAAAUAAUUCUCUAACGCCUAAAAGCAAAAUAUUAUGAGUAAAUUGAAAUUAAUCCAUUCGUCAAGCCAACACUCUUAAAAGCAAAAAGAAUUGUUAAAUGGUAAUUUUGAUAGUUGGUGACUACAUCAGAGUUCGUAAACGCAAGGACCCAUUUUGGUCAAAUAAUACUAUUUUUUUUUUGAAAUAAAUUGCGAGAACUUUUCCUUCUAUUUGCUUCAAAUAAAAAAUCAAUUGAAUACAAGCUAUUCUGCAUCCGAUCAUAAAAGUCUAAUUUAUAUCAGCAAAUUCAUUCGUUGUACUCUGUUUCAUUGUAUAUUUAUGUUCUUAUUCAAUCAUAAUUGCAAAUUAUUUAAUGCCCAUCAAUAUUUUUACAAUAAAGAUUUUGAACCCAACGUAAAUAGUCUUAAAAAAAGCGAU